GUGGGCACACAAGGAGACAGACAGGGGGACAGUCGGAUGGAUGGGCAGGCAGACAGACCCACGGACAGGCAGGCAGGCGGGCGGGCAGACAGACAGGUGAACAAACAGGCAAGCAGAUGGAGGGCGCAGCUCCAAAGCACACCUGGGCAGGGGAUGGAGUGUAGCUGAGCCCUGCUGCGGCCAAGGCUCUGUUCCUGCAGAGCUGCCAAGGCUUUUUGUUGUAUUUCUCCUCCAAACCAUCCUCAGCUGCUACUCCGCUCCCAGCAGGGAAAUCAUUGGCAUCAGCAGAUCUGUGCUUACAGCUGUGAGAGGAGCAGGGGGGGGGGAUGCUGUCCUGCUGCAGGCCCAACCCAGCAGAGCAGGACCCCGCUGCCGCAGCCAGAGCUGUGCCCUCUUCUUGGCAGCAGGGCUUGGGGUUGGGUGGAGAGUCUCCAUUCUGUGUUAGAAAUGAAUGAGGAGCCCCUGAGCGUUUCCAAGAGGGUCCCUGCCCUUCUCUCGGGACAUCACACCCAGCUCUGCCACGUGCUUGGCUUCUUCCCCAUGGGAAGCCACUCUGAGACAUGCAAGGAGGACUGCGCUGCGGUGGAGAUGAGCCGUGCCAACCCAUUGCCCAAAAACCCCAAACACAGCCCUCAACUUCUGCACCUCCUCCCAGAUGCGAAUGAGAGCCGUGAGCACAGCCCCACACUGCCACUCAGCAGCGUCCCAUUGCCACCAUUUCCCCCAGCUAACGGUGGUAGGAGGCGACACGAACCAGGAGGAGGAUGCUGCAUUGACUCCACUGCUGCAAAACCUCAGCGGGUCAGCAUCACCUGGUGCCACCCUGCUGGCCUCUGUCCCUGCAGGGACCUGAGUGUCCCCAUCGGGCCCUCUGUGGCCAAGGCGCAGCACAGAGGGAGGUGGCAGCCCCAAGGACAUGGUGGCAUUUGCCACCCUGCCCUCCCACACUGCCUCUCCUCCUCCUCCUCCUCCUCCUCCUCCUUCUCCCUGCGCUGGGUGCAGUGAGGAAUGCGCUUGGCUCCUGAGCCUGGAGUGGGAGGUGAAGGCAAAAAACACGACUUCAGCUCCACGGCGCGUGGGACGGGGAUGGUGGCAGAGCUCCACCCUUGACUCCUCACCGAGGGUGAGGUGCAAACCCCAUAGCCAAACCACAGCCAAACCACAGCCAAACCCCACAGCCAAAGCCCAGUCAGCUCUGGAUGCUCUGGGCUGAGCACCACUGUCCCUUGUGCACGGGGAGGAGGAAUAAGGAGACUUUAGGAAACGGCUUUGCGGUGCCUGCAGCAGCCAGCACACCAGGAGGGGAGAAUUUAGCCUAAAGCCUGUGCAAAUGCUCUGUGCUUAUUGCAGGUUUCCUUCCUCCUGCUUCUUCAGAUCCCCAGGGAACCACGCAAAGCCGGAGCUCCUGCUCCAGCUGCGGCUGUGCCGGGGGCUGAAGGGGGGCAGGAGGACCCUCAGCUGAGGUUGCACUGCUUUCUGUGUCUGCACCCCGUGGGGUGGGACCCCCACGUUCCAUCCCGACUCCAUUACCCGCACCCCCAGCACACCCAGGUGCUGAUUUGCUCCCCUCUGCCCAUGUCCCCCCCGGCAGUUCUGGGCAGUGCCAGGAAGCGAAACCCAACUGUUUGUGCAGAGCAAAUCCCACAGCAGACAUUCCUCCUCUGAUUGAAACCAGACCUCACGCGAUGCUGCCGGAGCUGCUGGCGGGGGCGCGUUAACCAGAGCAGAGCAUGCGCUCCCAAAAGGGGAUUGGGGUCUCUCUGCUUGGGGACAUGGGUUGGCCAAGUGGGUCAGGGUCCAAGUGAUGGGAUGAAGAUGUGUGGGGUGGAGGUGUGUGGGGUGAAGAUGUAUGGGAUGAAGAUGUGUGGGGUGGAGGUGUAUGGGGUGAACAUGUAUGGGAUGGAGCUAUAUGGGAUGGAGGUGUAUGGGAUGGAGGUGUAUGGGAUGGGGGUGUACGGGAUGAAGGUGGGUGGGAUGGAGGUAUAUGGGAUGGAGGUGUAUGGGAUGGAGGUGAAUGGGGUGAAGAUGUGCAGGAUGGAGGUAUAUGGGUUGAAGAUGUAUGGGAUGGAGGUAUAUGGGAUGGAGGUGUAUGGGAUAGAAGUGUAUGGGAUGGAGGUGUAUGGGAUGGAGGUGAAUGGGAUGGAGGUGUAUGGGGUGAAGAUGUGCAGACCCAACCGGCAGCAGCCACAAGCAUAGAGGAGAGAGGAGGAUGAGGCAGGGAAACCCCCAUGGCCUUCUCAAACGCUGUGUCAUCUCCUCCCCGAAGCCAAACAAAAAAAUCGCUACCAGCCCACACAACCUAAAAUUCCAGCAUUAGGAAAUCCAGGGGAAAAGCAGGAAGCGGAGGUGCAGACAGGGCUGGGUGCUGCCGUGCUGCAGGCGGAGCCUGAAGCUCCGGGGCAGCGCUGGGAACCGCUUCCCAACCCGGUCCCAUAGCGGGAGCUCACCCAGACACCCCAACUCCACCCCGAGGCUUCGGGGAACUGGAAUGGUGAUGCAAGGUGGGAUGAAGCAACAGCGCUGGG
ensembl:lncRNA